rnacentral:lncRNA from 1 species
AUUAGUUAGAUAAGCCAAAUAUAAGCGAAAUGCUAGAAAAACUUGUUCGAACAAAAUAUAAGUCAAACAUCAAUCACAUUCAUUGUUGUCUUUAUUACGUUGUUGAUGUAGCAAAUGUUGGAAACUUUUACUUGCAAAUCCUUCGUACGACAUCAAAUGAGAAGGAUAAUGUGGUUGCAAAGCAUACGUCGGGAGUGUUUGCUGUAAUAUAUAAAAAAAUUAAAACAUGAUAUGAGAUUUUAGAAAUUAAAAAAUAUAAGUAUACAAAAUAAUUAAUAUUCGUAUUAAGAAUAAAUUAUUAUAAAUUUUUACAAAAUUUGGAUCCACCAAUAAUUUAAUCCAUCAUAUUCUAAAAAUUUAAAUUAAAAAAAUAAUAAAUCGAACACAAAAUUUAAAUUAAAAAAUUCUAAAUCGAAACAAAAUUUAAAUUAAAAAAUUCUAAAUCCCACCCAUCAUUUAAAUUAAAAAACUUCUAAAUAAAAAGAUUUCUAAAUCAAACACAACAUUUAUAUUAAAAGAAAUUCUAAAUCCAACACAAAAUUUAAAUUAAAAAUUUCUAAAUCAAAUUUAUCAUUAUUUGAUUUCUAAAUAAAAUUUUCUAAAUCAAAAUUUCAUUAUCAUAUAACAAAAAAUAAUAGAAUAAAUAAAAAAUCACUCUUUACCAGCUGGGUGUUUUACUUCAAGCUGGUGAUGAACUACUCCUGCUAGGCUGCUAAUGCCGUUUUCCUGCUUCUAAAAUGAGAAAAAAAACCCAACUCAAUCCUUUCACGUGAAUGAGCAAAUACUCCUGGCUCCUGCCCUAAUGCCGCUCUCUCUACUUGUGAAAGAGAGAAAAAUCUCAACUCAAUUAGUGCUUUUCGACAGUUAGAAUCAAAUGUGGGGGACAAAGAGUAGAAAAUGUGGAAAAAGCAAAAGUAGCAAGAAAAAACAAAAGGGACAAAAGUUCACGUGGUGGGGGGUGGGGCCGUUUCUCUCGGCAUUCUCUCAGCAUUCUCGCUGAGAAGCAUUUUCCUUUGUCUUUUUGGUCGACUUUAACAUGAUUUAGAGCUUUUGAACGCGUCUUCCAAGUGCAGAUGCCGAGUAUAUCGACUGUUCGAUGAAAUGCCCAUUUGAAUAAUUUGAGGAUCCACGAGGCCACGCCACUGGUAUUUAGGAUGCGUUUGGGAUUGAGGUUGGGCAGCUGUAGCUUAAAAGCCACAGCACUAAAGUGUUUGGUAAACACUAGCUGUUGUAACUUUU